rnacentral:snRNA from 1 species
AUGCUUACCUGGCAGGGGAGAGCCCAUGAUCAUGAAGCUGUUUUUCCCAGGGCAGGGCACACCCAUUAUACUCCAGAUGAGCUGACCACGUGAUUUCCCCAAACCAUGAUCAUGAAGCUGUUUUUC